AGGGUUAAAGAACAUCAGUUGUUCGACCUGUUAGUCAAAUGCGUUUUGUUUAAAUAUACUUUUUCACCUUUUUGGUCUUUUGGAAAAUGUUGUUUGUGCUGUUUUUAGACCCUUCUACAACGAAAUUUGUUAAACAUGCACACGUAUAAAAAUUGCGGUUUUUAUCCAACGCAAUCAUAGGUUUGAACGUAGUUUUCAAUUUAGACUCGUAUAUAUAUAUAUAUAUA
rnacentral:lncRNA from 1 species